CCUACGUGGUGCAGCAGUGGGGAAUAUUGCGCAAUGGGGGAAACCCUGAUGCAGCGACGCCGCGUGAGCGAAGAAGUCUUUCGGUAUGUAAAGCUCUAUCAGCAGGGAAGAAUAUGACGGUACCUGAGUAAGAAGCUCCGGCUAAAUCCGUGCCAGCAGCCGCGGUACUACGUAUGGAGCAAGCGUUUUCCGGAUUUACUGGGCGUAAAGGGAGCGUAGGCGGGCUGACAAGUCUGAUGUGAAAUACCGUGGCUCAACCCCGGGGCUGCAGUGGAAACUGGCGGGCUUGAGUGCCGGAGAGGCAGACGGAAUUCCUAGUGUAGCGGUGAAAUGCGUAGAUAUUAGGAGGAACACCAGUGGCGAAGGCGGCCUGCUGGACAGUGACUGACGCUGAGGCUCGAAAGCGUGGGGAGCAAACAGGAUUAGAUACCCCAGUAGUC
rnacentral:rRNA from 1 species